rnacentral:lncRNA from 1 species
CCAGACCCACUUGUGCAACGCGACCCAGACCUCUCCGUCCUUAUAGCCCCUCCGGCCGCACGCAAUCUCCAGGGCCACCACGCCGAAGCUGAACAUGUCGGACUCCUUCGUGGCCUUCCCACUAAUGAAGUACUCUGGCGCCAGGUACCCGCAAGUCCCAACCACGUCUGUUGUCUGAGACCUGAACUGGGGGUCAAUGAGCUUGGCCACUCCGAAGUCGCCGAGCUUGGUUGUGAAGUUGGUGUCGAGCAGCACGUUGGCUGCCUUUAUGUCCCGGUGGAGAACCCAUUGCUCGAGCUCCUCGUGGAGGUAGUUAAGGGCGGAUGCCAGGCCAAGCGCCACGCCGUAUCGCACAGCCCACGGCAGGCUUCUCCGGGGCCCAAAGAGGUGGUGGUCGAGGCUGCCAUUGGGCAUGUACUCGUAGACGAGCAAGAACUCACCUUCCUCUUGACACCACCCAACAAACGGCACCAGGUUUCUGUGUAUUGUUCGGCUUAUGAUCUUCACCUCGUUGACAAAGACCUUCUCGGAGUGUCGGGACUCCGCAAAGAUCCUUUUGACGGCGACCAGGCGGUUCGAAUGGCUCAAGAACCCUUUAUAGACUUGGGCAGACCCGCCUCGGCCCAGCCUUCUAUCGUCUGUGAAGCCAUUGGUCGCCGCGAGUAACUCCUGAUAAGUGAACUUCGUAGGCAAUGCGCCAAUCUCUUUAUCUAUGUCGGUAAGGGCGAUAUAACCAUUCUUUUCCCUCCUCUUGACGGCCAAAAAGCAAGACCUUGCGUAGAUCACCAGUAAAAAACAUGCCGUGGGAACAACGACCAGUAUCCAUAACCGGCGAGGUUCAUCUACGUCGUCCAAAUCCGAAGUGAACUCCCAUGAAUUGACGCUGUGUCUCUCUGGAUCGCGGCCGAAAGAAGCUGAGAACCCGAUCGCUGCAAAUUCAGGAAGGACUCUUGCCAGAUCAACAAGGUAAGAAAGCGAGUGAUGGGCCUUGCCGUCGAACGACCAGAACACGCUGAGGUUCUUGCUCACAGAAUUGUAGGUCACGUUAACAUUGACCGCUUUCCCGCUGUGCGAUCCGGGAUCCCAGCGGGCAUAAAUGAGCGACGAGAGACUGUUCUGAUUGAUUCCUAUGUGAUGCACUGGAGGAUCAAACUCCCAGUUCACAUAGGUGUCGAACUCGACCAUAACGAUCUGGUUCCGAGGCCCCUCAUUAGCCGUGGUACCGUUGAACAAUCCCAGGAAUUGUCCAGGUGAGUUGGGUGGGAUCGGGAUCCCGACAGGAGCGAGGAAGAAGGCGAUGCCAUCACUGUACUGAGCAGAGCCGUCAGUCUCGAUGGUGAACGAGAAACAGGUUGAGAAGUUCGCUUGGCGCCUCGUGACAGGAUCCCCUAUGCGGACAGGCUUGGCGUACUUAAUCCGCCCAAUUUGGUAGCCAUGCUCAGGAUGGAGGCGGGUGAGAUCGACAUGUCCAUACGUGACCUCCGAAACUCCCUCGUACAAUAUGUCCCCCCUAUCCGUGUCGAAGCUGCUUAUGUUGAAGUAGAGAGGGGCAACACAGGGGAUCAAAGGACAGCAGACAAGGCAGAACAAGAACAAGCGAGCUUGCAAAGAAAGAGAACGGGGAGUCGCGCGCGGCAUACUUAAGACGGGCUUUGGUGGGAAUUGGAUCACCGAAACUGCGAGAUCUAUAGGUUACAUUAGGGAGCUUUAAAAUGAACCCGAGCGUACCUAAUGGCUUACCGGACACGGCGAGCAAUCAUAGAUCAAGCAGCUUCUAUGAUAGCUCCUUAUUUUCUGCUAAAGUCAGAUGGAAUAGGUUAUUAAACUUCUGGUGGGUACCAUUGCUAUCUUCCGAGCACGAAAUGUCAACACGGUUUUCCCUAUCGCUCCAGCUAUUGCGCAAUUGGUGGAAAAAUUUGCGAGUGUUUGGAAGAGCCUUGGACAAAGACCAUGGAGAUGGAAACUGACUGAUCGAUAGUGACUGGCUGCCGGUGAUAUGAAGCUAGAGAACGAGCCAGCUGCUUUGCUGGGGGAGCUUGUGUGGUUCACCAUUUUUACAGACAUUAUCAAACCACUCAAAGUCUCUGUCCACAAUUGUGGAGGAAAGGAGAGCAAGCUUUGGUCAAAGGAAGAGACUUAAAUGAGGGUUGAGAGUCCAUUGCUCGAAAGCCAUUGAUUAUGAUGAUGAUCGAAUUAUCUUAUUCGUCAACUAUGUGUGCCAAAUCUUUCCUACAAGUUGUAUUUGAGAACUACUUUCAUGUUAUCGAAGCACAAGAGCCAUGGUCAAGUUCAAUCAAACUCUUGUAGACCCUCAUUUCACAGCUUGUCCAGCCCAUCGAGAACAUUACAGGCCUAUUUGGUUCUUGAGAUAGUUUCAUUCGACGAAACUGUGUCGUAGGUUGUAUUUUGAAAGUUCACAUGGAUGUAGAAUCUUGUGUGAUAGGGCAAGAUAAAAUCAUUUUGCAAAAUCUUGGUCUUAAGAAUCCAAGAUAAAAAAUGUUAUGCAAUUGACAUAGCAUGUCCUUAGUGACUAACACUAAACUCCUGAUGACCCAAGUAUUAGUGGGGGCAAUUGCUGCAUACCCAAAUGCAUUAGACCCCAUGCAUGCAAUACGUCGGAUAAUUUGAGUCUCACUAGGAAUUCGUAAGAUCCGAGAAAUCUUGUUUACUGGAUCUAUAUUUUCUGGCUGCGGCCAAUAAUUUUCUGUACCAAUGGCCCCCACAUGCCCUUUUGAGUUUGCUCCCGCACUAUCAUGGUUGAGAUUUCGUGGUUUAAGCUUCACAAUGAACCUCAAAAGUUACUGUCCUUCCUUGUUCAAAGGUGCGUGAUGAAACGAAUUUAUCGCGCUUGUGAUGGGAAACGGUCAGACACUUGAAGAGUCCCAAACAAUCCAUUCCUCACGAAACAAAAUUGUAAUGAAAAAGAUCUUUGGGUGAAAACAAUUGAAAACGUCCCAUUUAUUAUUUUCACUCUUUCCACGAGGACCCGGCCAAAAUCAGAACAUGGUUUUGACAAAAAUGAAACUAUAGUUCUCGGUUAGAAAACAUGUUUUUUUUUCUUUUCUAAUCAAACACAAUAAUUACGAAUAUACAAAAGUAAAAACUAAAAUUAUUCUCAUUUUCAUAGGCAUAUUUUGAGAAAUCACGUGCGGUCUAUAUAGAAAAUUAAAGCAGUGACUGAUGUUGAAUCUGCCUUGAUCUUAGCUAUUGGGCCUUAAUGGAACUUAUUACAAAAAACCCAUUGUCCAGUUGAACCAAAGGUUAUAGAUGCUAUAACAAAACUUCGUAAGAAAAUAACUAGAGAAAUCUAUGAAGAUCGAAUUAGGUCUCAAGAAGAAAAUUGGUCUACGAACCACAAGAAAAGUGGAAAUGAAAGCAAUGUAGUUUCGAGUGAAUGGAUACUCCAAGAUAGAACAAGAAAAGUUGAAUCCGAUUAAUUCAACUUCUAUGAUUUUGGAAUAAUUAGAAAAUUACAAAAAACGAAACUAUUCAUUUUGAGCAACAAAGUUCGAUUUAAUCAAAUUUGACAACAGGUUUUCUAACAAGUCUUAUAAGGAGCUUUUGGAACUCUGAAUAGUUGGUUGAAUAACGAGUUACAUUACUUGCCCUGCCCUCGACUGUCUGGCGGGAUCUGGGUGCACGCACCAUAGCCCCACCAUCAUCAAGCACUUCAUCUCCUCCUAUGGGAACUCCGAGUGCAACACCUCGUCAACCGCGCGCCGAGGACGUUGCCAGCAAGGUAUAGUUGCCAGACCCACUCGUGCAAUGAGACCUGGAUCUCUAUUCUCAUAGCUCCUCUGGCCAUGACGCCAAAGCUAAACAUGUCGGACUCCGGGUUGGCCUUCCCUCCAAUAAAGUACUUUGGCGCUAGAUACCCACAAGUCCCAACCACGUCUGCCGUCUGAGUCCUGAACCGGGGGUCGACAAGCUUGGCCACUCCAAAGUCGGCAAGCUUGGUGCUGAAGUUGGAGUCGAGUAGUACAUGGGCUGCCUUUAUGUCCUGGUGGAGCACAUAUUGCUCGAGAUCAUCGUGGAGACAGUUGUGGGCAGAUGCGAGGCCGAGUGCCACCUUGUACCACACGUCUCAGGGCAGGCUUCUCCGGGCCCCAAAGGGGUGAUUGAGGCUGCCAUUGGGCAUAUACUCAUAGAUAGCUAAGUUCACUCCUAUGUGGAGGAAGCUCAAUGAGUUGCAAGCCCAAAAAAGGUUUGAGCUCAUAUAAUAAGUUAUAUGGAGAAAUAGGUUUCUUACUAUCAAAAAGUGGUAGCCACAAAAAGACACGGUAACAAGAAAAAAGAGAGAAAGCAGAAAAUCUGAGAGUUGAGGCAAUAUCUGAUUUACAUUAAGCUGGCAUCAGAGGUCGAUUCAUGGUCCGAUUGAGCUGAAAUUUUGUUAGCAUGUCGUGGCUCAAUCUGGAAUCUGAACGAUUUGAUUUUCAUUUGAAGCUGCCUCCAUCAGGUUUUUCAUGGAUUGAUCAAAACAUGCGUUUUUGGUCAGAUUUAUUCUUUGAUUUCUUGUGAAAUUCAUGUGUAUUGCCAAGAAUUAUGUUCUUGAGGUUUUUGCUACUAUAUGUACCUCUAGUAUUUGCUAGAGAAUAACAUUGUUCACCCAAUUUUGUUGAUAGUGAAGAUUUUCCGGUGGACCCUUUUUUUAUCUCCUCACAUCGAGGAGGUUUUUCACAUAAAAAAAUUGUCUUCUAUUCACGUGCUUGGUAUUUAUUUUACUUUACUAUAUCGAUUCUUAUUAAGUUUACACAAGAUGAGAGAUUAUUUUAUUCUGCCGCGUUAAUUCGAUAUUGUUUGAAUUGUUACCAUUCUCCGAUCAAGAACGGCACAAGGUUUCCGUGAAUCGUGCGGCUUACGAUCUUCACCUCAUUGACGAGAACCUUUGCAUUGGGAUUCCGUGAAGAUCGUUUUGACAGCAACCAAGCAGCCUGAAUGGCUCAAGAACCCUUUAUAGAUUUGGCCAGACUCACCUCGGCCAAGCCUUCGAAUGCACCGAUAAAUUGUUUUUUGGGGGGGGGCGACAAAAAUUUUUAUUCAAAAUUUCUUCACCCCAAAAAAAACACGCCCCCGGGGGCCCCCCCCAAAAAAAAGUGGGGGGGGACCCCCCCCCCUUAAUUUUAAGGGGGGGGAUGGGUGGGCCCCCCCCCCCCCCCCCCCCCCCCCCCCCCCGCAACAACCUUCGGCGCCGAUUUAUCCAUCGAUGGUGGCAGAUCUACCACGUCCAAAUCUGAAGUGAAUUUCCAUGAAUUGAUUCUGUGUCUCUCCACAUAGAAGCCGAAUGAAGCUGAAAACCCGAUCGCAACUGAUUCGGGAAGGACACUCGCAAGAUCAAUUUAGCAAGAAAGUGAGGAAUGGCCCUUAUCCUGGAAAGCCCGUUUGUCCUCAAAUGACCAGGACACUCUGAGGUUCUUGCUCGUGGAAUUGUAGACCACCAGAACAUCGGUCGCCGCUGUGCAGGCUGGGAUCCCAGCCAGUAUAAACAACCGAUGAGAGCCCGUUCUUAUUGAUUCCAAUGUGAUGCACUGGGGGAUCGAACUCUGGGUUCACGUAAGUGUUGAACUCGACCAUGACAAUCCGGUUUCGAGGCCCUUCACUGGCCAUGCUUGCAUUGAAUAAUCCCAGGAAUCCACCACCCGAGUUGGGCAGGAUCGGCAUGCCGGCGGGAGCAAGGAAAAAGGCGAUGCCAUCAUCAUACAGCCCAGAGCUGUCGUUGUCAAUAGCGAACGGAAAACGGGUCGUCGUUGUCAAUAGUGAACAAAAAACGGAUCGAGAAGUCCGCUUGCCACCCCGUGAGAGGAUCCCAUACGGGGACAGGCUUGGCAUGCUGGAUCCGGCCCACCUGGAAAUUUGGUGGAGUAUUGCAUUUGGUGAGAUCGACAUACCCUGCUCGGCAUACUAGAGACGGGCUUUGGUCAGAAUCGGAUCAACUGAACCGCAAGAUCGCUACAUCACAUUUGAGUGCUCUACAAGGAUGGUGAGUAUACCUGGCGGACCUAAUACGACGAGCGUUCAUAGAUCAAGCAACUUCGAUGAUGGUUCGUUGUUUUCUAAAAAAGUAAAUGGAGCAAAUUCGUCACGAUGAGAAUCAGUCUUGAGGUGGGUAUCAUUGCUAUCUUCCAAAUAAGUGAUGGAGCAUUGUCAAACUUGGGGUAGGCGUCACUUGGGCGUGUCCCAUUACUGGACCAUCCACGACCCAGAGGCUUGACUCUUGAGCUAAUUUCUUGUACCAUCACUUGCGCGUCCUAUUGAGAGCUGUACUAUCCAAUUUAAGACGGUAUGACUAGAAUCUAUUGCCGCUGAUAUUUGUCAACUGGGGAAAAUUUGCAGGUGUUCUAGAGAGCCGCGGAUGAAGACCGUGGAGAUGGAAACUGACCGAUUGAUCUCCCGAGUUGACUGGCUUUCGAUAAUACAACGGGAGCGAGCGAGCGACCGCGGAUCGGUGUUUUUGCAUUCGCCAGGAGAGCUUCUGCGGUUCACCUCUUUAACAGAAAUUAUCAGACCGGUCGACGUGUCUGUCUACAAGUGUGUAGGAAAGGAGCGCAUGCUAUUGUUAGAUGAGCUGCGAUUUGCAGGGACGUGAAGAGCGGUUGAUAGUCCAUUGCUUCGAAGCCACUGAUUAUGACGAACACUACGAACCCAAAAAACAAAAAGAAGAGCCGAAGAUAGUUUUCUAGCUGCAUCAUCAUUAUGCCACGUCACUGUGCACGUCGUCAAUGCCAUGUCAUCAUGCCACGUCAUUAAUACCAUGUCGUCAUGUGUGCCAUGCCAUCGCCAUGUCAUCGAAAUAUGCCAUGUCAUUGCUUGCAUGUCAUUGAUUGAUUGUAUGUUAGGUUCAUAAAAUUGUAUGCCAUGCUAGAAUAGUGCCAUAAAAUUGAUUACCGCAAGCCACAUUGGAAUAGACAUACUUAGUACGUCGUCGUGUUUAGAGUACUUGCAUUACAUAUAUUACAUACAUUACAUUUUAGCGUUAGCUUUCACUAGAUAAGAGAAAACCUUAAAAAGGAUUUGAGUAGAAUUGUCUGUUAAUUAGAAAUCAUAUUUAUGUUGUUAAGAAUGUAAUUAUCUAAUAAAAUUUACAGUUGCUUACGUUACUUCAAGGUAAGUAAAUCUAUUCCUUACCCUUGCAAUCUAUUCAUCACUUUAAGUAUAUAAUGUUUCAUUAAUGGUCGUGUCACGCCCCGAUCUUCAAACGCGCACAUCUUUCUACUUGGUCAAUUUAUGAAUGCGAUAUCCCAAGACUAUGUAUCGCCGACCCUUUGCUUUUAUUAAGUACAUGCGGAAGCAAUUAUAAAUCCUCAGACAAUAAAACAAUGGGAUAAGAAAGCAAGCCAUAUUUUUCAUAUUGAAAUUCACAACCACACUUUUAUUAACAACACAACUCAUAGUACAUUUACAAUACUAUUCAUAUGUAACAUCCCGAUUUUCCAAGUCUAUUUUCAAUAAAUUGAGACGGGCAUUUCGUUGGCACGUAUAUAGUUCUUUUCCUUGAGUCGGCCACUCAUGUGAAAGCUAGUCUAUCGGGUGAAGCUGUUAAGAGUUUAUAAUGCAUCAGACUCGAGAAUUUGAUCAGGAAACGACCUUUCGACCGAGCUAAUCUGCAAGGGUCAUUACGGCACAAUUAAAGAUCGAUUAGAGAUCGGAGAUAGGACGACUCGACAGAGGCAUGUGAUCAGGUGUGGGUGAUUCCACUAGAUCACACAAUUCUUGUUGAUCGGCACUGGACCGACUUUUCUAUCGAUUGGGUACCCUGUGUUCGUAUUUGAAACCUUGAGAUUACCCCGACAACCGAAAGUCGCCAAUGUUUCAAAGAUGUACAUUGUGGCUUGAGAUGAUCAACCACAGGUCAAAUGCAUGAAAGUUUCUAAAGGCUACCCGGUAGGUUGGGCUGCGCUAGUAUUGUGCCAAAGUGAAAUUAACCGUGGAAUUGAGAUCGAAUUCAGAAAUUGGAGGUCUGGGUAUGUCACAAAUCAUUUUAGGAACAUUGACUAAUCUUUGGAAAGAUUUUUCAUGCAAACCGAGUUUUUCAGCAAAAUAAUCAGAGAAUGGCUAAUUUGGCUCGAGAAAUUAGUAGGCGCAUCUUUGGUAACGUUUUUGGGACUUAGGUUGGUUCUAUGGACAAGUGAAGAUGUGAAUUAAAGUGNNNNNNNNNNNNNNNNNNNNNNNNNNNNNNNNNNNNNNNNNNNNNNNNNNNNNNNNNNNNNNNNNNNNNNNNNNNNNNNNNNNNNNNNNNNNNNNNNNNNNNNNNNNNNNNNNNNNNNNNNNNNNNNNNNNNNNNNNNNNNNNNNNNNNNNNNNNNNNNNNNNNNNNNNNNNNNNNNNNNNNNNNNNNNNNNNNNNNNNNNNNNNNNNNNNNNNNNNNNNNNNNNNNNNNNNNNNNNNNNNNNNNNNNNNNNNNNNNNNNNNNNNNNNNNNNNNNNNNNNNNNNNNNNNNNNNNNNNNNNNNNNNNNNNNNNNNNNNNNNNNNNNNNNNNNNNGAAGCCGCCGGACCUCACGCCCUUGCCCGUCAGCUGUCGUCGCCGCCGCCUGUGCCGCCCGCGCUCGUUUACCGGUCAGCUCCCCUCCCCGUUCCGCCUCAGCCCGCGUCCCCAGCAGAUUUGAGAACCCCGAACCAGCAAGCCGAAGACCAGUUGAAGCCAGCAGCUCCACUCGUCGCCGGAGCUCACCGCCGCCGCCGUCGUCCGUGCGCAAAGCUCGCGCGCCCGCGUGUCACCUCGCUGGACAGCCGUCGCGCGCUGCUCCGCCCUGCUCGCCCGGUCCCGAGCUCCUUCCCCUCCGUCUAGCCGUCGUCGCCGUCGCUAGGGUCGCCGUCAGCCUCGUCGGAGCUUCGCCCGAGCUGCCGCCCCUCUUCUCCGCCGUUCCUCCGCCCAUCUCGGCGCCGGAUCUGCUCCCUCUCGGCCCCAAGCAGAAUCUGGAAAAAUGGGUAUGGCAGCGGGUGUUUGGCCCGUUUUGGCCGUCUUCCCGAGCCCGGAUGCUCGGCCCGCUUUGAGGAAAGUUGAUCCUCGCGUCGUCCCCGUCGUUUUGGUCUGCUCGGCUCGCUAAUCCGGUGAGUUUAACUCACUAAAUCUUGAUUAGACGGUUAAUUAUGCCCUAAGUGUGCUUAGUCUAAGUUAAGCAAGUUUAUGUGGAUAUUUGAGUUUAUUUAAUUGUGAUUUGGGUUAAAAGGUUUGGUUUAAUUUAAAGGGUAUUUAAUUAAAGGUUAAGAUAGUUUAUUUAAUAAUAAACCUUGAUGGGACAUAAUAGGGUUUUAAUUUUGAAUUAUUUAAUUGCUUCGAAAUUCUGGAAAUUUAUAAUAUUAUAUUAAUUCCGAAAUUAUUAAAAUAUUAUUAUAAAAAAAAAGGAAAAUUUAUUUUUGAUCCCGGUUGUUCAGAAUUUCGUGCCGGUCGUUGCUGUGUAGUCGGAUUUUGAAAUUGAUGAUUGGAUAUUAUAAAUUGAGCGUGGAUCUUGAAAAAUAUGAAUAUUAUUAUUUAAUUAUUUUCGGAAUAAAUUUAAUUAUUUAAUAAAUUCCGAAAAUUUUGUCAAGACCCUAAACUCUCAGAAUUUCGUGCCGAUUGCUGCUGUGCAUUUAGAAUUUGAUAUUGAUGAUUGGUUGUGAUGAAUUGAGUGUGAUUGCGAUUUAUAGGGAUUCUUUAUGAAAUCCUAAGUGUAGAAAUUGAUGGGAGAUUGGCUGUGAUUGACCACCUAUUAGAGGUCGUGCCCAGUGAGGCCGUGAAAUACCACCUAGGAAAGAUCGUGCCCGAUGAGGCCGUGAAAUACCACCUAGGAAAGGUCGUGCCCGAUGAGGCCGUGAAAUACCACCUAGGAAAGGUCGUGCCCGAUGAGGCCGUGAAAAACCACCUACGAGAAGUUGUGCCCGAUGAGGCCGUGAAAUACCACCUACAAGAGAUCGUGCCCGAUGAGGCCGUGAAAUACCACCUACAAGAGGUUGUGCCCGAUGAGGCCGUGAAAUACCACCUAUUAGAGGUCGUGCCCAGUGAGGCCGUGAUAAACCACCUAUGAGAGGUCGUGCCCAGUGAGGUCGUGAUAAACCACCUAUGAGAGGUCGUGCCCGAUGAGGCCGUGAUAAACCACCUAUGAGAGGUCGUGCCCGAUGAGGCCGUGAUAUGCCACCUAUUAAAGGUCGCGCCCAGUGGGGCCGUGAAUUGCCACCUGUUAAAGGUCGUGCCGAGUGGGGCCGUGAUGCCAUUGAUUUAAAUUUGCCGAGUAGGGCCGUAGUUGAGAGCAAUGAUUGAUUUGCUAGAAUGACAUGUAAUCGGCCGAGUCGAUUGAUCGCUGAGACGAUCCAAGUGGUUGAAUGGUUUGAUAAUGUGAUUGUGCCAUGGUUGUUUGGUUAUCAUAAUUGCAUGUGGUUGGUUCACAUAAAUUGUGCUAACCUGCAGAUAAAGGCUGAGGCGAGGUAAGUCCUCUGUGUGAUGUGGCUAGGCCACCCGGGGCGUAUUUUCUUUCUAAUAGGGGUUUAGGGGGUUGAACUUGCUGAGACAUCGUCUCAUCCCAGUUGUGGGAUUAAAAUUUUAGGUCCCUGGUGGACGGAGCAACCAGAUAGCUUUGGUUGGCCUUGAGGAGUUGCAGAGGUGAAGUCAUAAGGAUUGGAGAGCAUGCCCGACUUGUAGGUCGUAGGACAAUUCCUUUUUAAGGGCCGGUCUUUUGUAGACUGUUGGCCGUAGACCUCUGUUUGUAAUUCUGUUGAAUUAUGGAAGUGUUAUGUUGUGAUUUGGUUUCCUGCCUUUCUAUCCCGUAUUUUAUUGUCAGGGGUUUUAUAAUACGUUCCGCUUGCGCAAUAAAGAAAUGAAUGGGGUCGGCGACACUACCUGGGAAGGUCGCUUUUGAUCGACCGCAGUGGGAUGUGCUCGCGCUCGGGGUUCGGGGCGUGACGUCAUAGCUUACUUGUCUCACACCUAUCUAUACUAAGACAGGGUUCACAAAAGGGAUGGGAUCUCAAUCCACAUUCGGGUUAUACUCAAGAUCCCUAUCUGGAUCAUCUGCUCCUUCAAAAGUCUUUCUCCCCUUCAGGUUCCUCCUCCUCAGUUUCUCCUCAGGGUCCUGAAAUGGUUAUUCAAUAACCAAUGAGACCACGUCUCAGCGAAUUCUACUCCCUAAUACCCGAUUAGUAAACUAAUACACCUUAGGCUGCCUAAGCACAUCACAAGUCAGAGGACUUACCUUGGCCUCAGCUCCUUCCUACAAGUUAGUAUAUAUAUCAAAUAUACGUCAUCACAUCACAUCACCCAAUCAGAUCGAAUCGUCGAUCAAUCGAUCUAGUCGAUUAUAUGUCAUCCAAAUUAUCGCUUGAUCGACCCCUUCCAUACUUUCUAUAAGUCUGAUUAACACCCACGACUACUCACCCUAGGUGAUAUAUAGAUAGUAUGUUAUCUUAUCUCCAGACGACAUAUAGAGUCAUCGAGCUAUCAAAUCAUACCGUACUGUCUCAAGAUGAUCUGUAGGAUUAUCGAGCCGGUAAAUCAUACCGUACUGUCUCAAAAUGCUCCGUGGAGUCAUCGAGCCGGUAUACACACAAUUUAUCAUACCGUACCGUCUCCAGAUGCUCCGUAGAGUCAUCGAGCCGGUAGAUCAUACCGUCCUGUCUCAAGAUGCUCCGUGGAGUCAUCGAGCCGGUAUACACACAAUUUAUCAUACCGUACUGUCUCCAGAUGCUCCGUAGAGUCAUCGAGCCGGUAGAUCAUACCGUCCUGUCUCAAGAUGCUCCGUGGAGUCAUCGAGCCGAUAUACAUGUCAUUCCAAGCAAACAAUCAAAUAACCAGUUUUAUCAUUCCCGAUAAAAUGCCAUGAGUGGGUACUCGAUCGGCCCUAAUCAAAAUAUAAUAGUUUCCUUUUUAUAAAUUCCACAAUUUUCUGUAGUCCACUCAGAUCCUUUUGGCAUUAUCAACCGAUGCCUAGUUCUUUUUCAAUUAAUAAUCAAAGAUUAUUCAAUUAAAAAAUAAUUCCUUCUUUCACAAAUAAUUCAAUUCAGCAUGAAAUAGGGCUCAAUUAAAUAAACGGACUGCACACGACAAUCAGCAUAAAAUUCCGGUCACCAGCCAUCCCGGUUGAAUUUCCGGAAAAAUAAAUAAAUAAUUAAUUAAUUUCGAAAAAUAAAAUAGAUAAAUACUAAAAAUCCAAUUUAGGCCCGUAAUACCUGAUUGGAUGCCAAAACGGAUCGGGAAAAAUCCCGAGAUACGUUCAAUAAAUAAUAGAAACUCUCUACUUGCUAAUGACUAAGUCUAACCACCUAACAUGCAUCAUUAAGCCACUAAUUUAAUUGUUCUAGACUAAUCUAACCACCUAAUUGCAUUUAAUUAAAUCUAACCAACCCCUAAGCAUAAUUAGCAAACUAAGAAAGCAUUAGUGAGUAAAAUUCACUUGAGCAAAGCAAAUAUCGGAACACUGCGACGGCGGCCGAAAUCCGAACUUUCGGCGGCGUCAACGGACACUCGGGCCGGGCCCAAAGAUCUUGCCUCGUGGGCUUGGGCUUCAAAAGGACUUGCUGGACUUCACUGGACUGGGCUUGAAUCAAGACUGAACAUGGGCUUCAAAUGGACUGAAGCUUGCUGUGAAUGGGCUUGAACCAGAAAAGAAUCUGCUGGGCCGAAGACUGCUGAAAUCAUGGGCUUCCAAUGGGCUUGCGGCUGAACUCACGAAGGAGCUGGGCAGAGUCUCACAUGGGCCGCAGACUGACUGGAUUCACGGGCCUGCUUCGUGGACUGGAGUUGCCGUGGCUUCAAUUGCAGGGCCGAUCCACGAGCUGGCGAAGAAAGAGACGAAGACGCUGAAGCUGCAGGCGUUGGAUUUGCUGGCAUCGAGCUGCGGACGACGCCGGAUUUGCUCGAGCUGUUUGGGGACGUCUCGUAGAAGCGAGAAGUGGGUUGGCGUGUGUUGUUACGGAAGAUGGGAGCACGCGGACAAAUGGCCGAAGCUGCUGGAGUUGGCCAAGGUUUCGUGGAUGCUGCUCAGUCAAACAUCAAAGCCAGCGAGAGUGUUUUGACCGAGGGAGACCAACGUUAGUGGAGAUGGGCGUUGGUAGCUUCGGUCUUCGUGGGGAGGAGACGCAGGCGCUGCUGUUGGAGGAGAAGACCACGUGGCUGAGAGAGGCGGAGAAGCGGACGAGGGAAGCAGCAACUGCUUCGCUUUGGUGAUGUUGAGCCCGUGAAAUUCGCUGGAUGAGGACUGCACGAAUUCGGGGGAAUCACGGUCAACAAAUCUGUAGAAGCUGAACCCGAAUCUGCUGGACUCACGGCUGAAUUCUCCAGCGUUGUUCGGUUGAGGACACGUGCAGAUGGAGGAGUUUCGGCGGAUGAAGGGCACGUGAGAAGUCAACUUCGGUGGAGGAACUUGUUGGGUUGUUGACUCGGUUUGCUGCGGCAGAAGACCAUAGAUUGUGGGAGAGCAGCUUCGGUCACCGCCUGGGAAAAUCUUGCGACCGUGCUGGCAGUCGAAGGAAAAGAAGCGGACGCGUGGGGAUUUCUUCGGUGGACUUGCUUCGUGGAAUUUUUGGGGCUGCUUCAGUCAACUAAAGCUUCAAUGGUUGACUGGAGAUGGGUGAUUUGCAGACGAGUGGCAGCUUGGCAUGGGAUGAGGCGCGCGAGUGAAGAAUUCUAGCGUGAGUGGUGUCUGCUGGAGGGGAAAAAUGGUGAAGACGGCAGCACAUGGAGGGAGAGAGAACAUGGAACGAAGGCGACGGCCACAGGGGUUGUUCGGUGGAAAUUUUUACUGGAUAAUUUAAACGAAGGAGACAACAGAAGAUGGAGGUCGGCAGCUUGGUCCGCACGAAGGAGGGGAAUAGAUAAGGAUGAGUGCCCCAAAAGUCCACAACUUGGCCUGUUUGGUUCAAUUUUGGGGAAAUGCAAAGUCAUUUCCCCAAGUAUCCUUGACUAAAUGGGCAUUCUCGGAAUGCAAACGUGUUUGGAAGUGUAUAUUUUGCAAAGUAAUUUUCAGGUGAAAAAAAAAGGAAAAAAAGAAAAGAAAAGAAAAUGGAGAAGGAGAUGGAGCUGCGUGAUCGCGGGGGAGCGGCUGGUGGCGGUGGCGCUGGUGGUGGUGGUGGUGGUGAAGCGGUGGUGGUGGCGAUGGUGGGGAGGCAGCUCGCCCGCGGUCGCCGGACCUCAGGCCACCUCGGCUGAGCCCGGCGGCCAGAUCUGGCCCUCUAGUGGCCAAGCGUCGCCCACCGCGAAGAAGAAGACGAACGACGAAGAAGAUGGGCGGGGAAGAAGACGAACGGCGAAGAAGAUGGGCGGUGAAGAAGGCGAUGAACAGUAACUCGAAAUUGCAUCUCCAGAAUGGGAAUGCUCAAACUAGCCCCAACCCAGCAUUGGGGAUGCUGACAAUGGGCAAAUGGGCAUUCAAAAACACAUGCCAAACACAAAAUAUUUUCCCCAAGGGGGAGGGGAAUAGAUAAGGAUGAGUGCCCCAAAAGUCCACAACUUAAUCUCUUCCAUUAAAACCUUGUCCCCUCUAAUUCUUUCUAGAAUAUAAUUUCACCAUUUAUUCCAAAUUAAAGCAAAAAAUGCAGCCCUUAGUCCAAUUCCGAAUUUCCUUAAUUUUUGGCUACAAUUUCUUCAUUUGAUUCUCCAAAUCAACGUCAAAUUUUGCUGAAGAAAAAUCCCGAAUAAUUUUCUAUAAGUCCUUGACACUCAAAGGCUUGGCUUGGAAGUCCAAAUUUCCUUUAAUUGAGUCCAUUCGAAUUUCCGUUAAUUUCCGCGACGUCUGAAUCGAUUUUUCGAAAAAAUCCCAGAAUCUCCGAAAAAUCUUCUAAGACCAAGUCAACGUUCCUAAAAUAGCUCGUGACACCACAGAACUUUCAAUUUCUGAAAUUUGGUUCGAAUUCACGAUUAAUUUCCAUUCGACGCGUUUUUAGUGUGACCUAGACUACCGAGUAACUUUCAGAACUUUUCAGUGCAAAUGACCCGUGGUCGAUUUUCUUCGAGCCACUAUGAACCCACUCGACUCAUUGGCGACUUUCGAUUGUCGUGAAAAUCUCGAGAAUUCAAGUACGGACACAGGGUACCAAAACGAUAAGAAAAUCAGUCUAGUGUUGGUCGACGAGAAUUUUCCAAUUUAGUGGUGUCACCCACGAUUAGCCACACAUCUCAAUUGAACCAACCUGUAUCUGAUCUCAAAUCGAUUUAUAUCUGUACCAUAAUGGUCUCGACAGAUGAGCACGGUCAAGAAGUCGAUUCACGGUCGAAUUCUCAAGUCUAUUUGCCUUAAAAUUCUUAAUGACUUCUCCAAAUAGUCUAGUUAUCUUGAGAGUGAUCAGCUCUAAGAACAACUCUAUAGACGCAUCAAUGAAAUGCCCGAUUUAUUCAAUAGAAAACAAGACUGAAAAUGUAGGAUGUCACAGGUCGUGCACGUGCAUGAUUACCUCGCAUCUUAGUGAAGAGGUUUAAAUUCAAUCCAAGUCCCCUGCCAAAUAUUUUUUGAACAAAAGAGGAAGUUAUCAAAAGGGUAUUGGAGUAUUCAAGCAUAAUCACGUCCCCGAAUCCAUAAUCUAUGGUUCGCAGGGAUAAAGUAUAUCUCCCAAUGCUUUACCUAGGUGUCUACUCAACCCACCAAAAACUAAUUAAUAGUGAUUUCUAAAUAAAAAUCAUUGGCAUAUUAAGAACUUAAAUCUAAGUCUCGAAUCGAUAGGGGCUUGGGAAAGCUCGAGCUAAGUUAAGCUUGUAAAUUCAUAAGCUCAACCCUAGGUGGUUCACUCCGAGGUAGGUCGCGACACACUUUAGUUCCAAAUUUGCUUAUGCAACCCUCCAUCCAAAAAUUCCACUGAUUUCUUUAAAAUUAUCAACAAGAGGAGGUUAAUGUUGUUCCAUACAAAAGUAAGGGUACUAAAGAAAUGUAGGUUCUAAUAAUGACCCUCUAAGCAAUCUUGAUUUGAUGAUUUUGAAGAAACUAAUAGCAAUUUUUGGACGUGCGGAUAGAUGUGGAACUAGCGUGAAAGGUGAUGGUUGUUUUAAUAUAAAAACUAGUUCAGGGCAAAAUUAAGAUUACUCUAAAAUUGGGAGUUUUUUUUUUUUUAAUUUUUAAAUUUAGGGAAUUGGGCUUAUUUGAAAAUGGCAUUUGGAUGGAUAUAAUUGUAAAAUCAAAAUCAUAACAAUCCAUUAUUUUGAAUUAGACCUUUCUGCUUUUCAUCAUACAAUUAUAACCUUAUGCAUCUCCAGGUUCAGAUUAUCAAAGAGAAAAUCGGCCUCAACUAAAUUCAUCAUGUCUUUCUAUAAUUUUUGCAUGUCCUAUUUAAGUGACACGUUGAGUUGAUUUCAUAUGACAUACGUUUAAGUCACGUAAAGAACCUGUCUAGAGUGAUUUUUAUGCUAACUUUUGACUUUGUACUCCAUAUAAAUUUCUGAAACUCACAUGAAAUGAUUGGAAACUUUUCAAAAUAGUUACAUAUCGAUAUUGAUACUUCUACCUUUUCUUGUUAUCUUUGAAAUAUUAGUGCAAAAUCUAUCCGGAAAUGUACGAAUUCCAUUCUACCCUUUCUUGUUAUCUUUGAAUAUUCGUGCAAAAUGUAUCCGGAGAUGGACGAAUUUCAAAUGCUUUUAUCAUAUUUUCUACUUGAGUUCAAGUGAAUUCAGUGCUUCCAGCUUUUAGAUUACGAGAGCUCAGGAAUGUUUUAUUUUCCCUGGAAAAAGAUGCCAUGGACGAUUUCGAAGAUAUUGGCCAUGGCAGCAGUGCCAGAGCAACGAUGGACGAGUUACCUUGUUGGGGACAUCGAUUCUUCGACUUAACCCCAAAAAGGAGCCUACGUUCCUGCGAAGCAGCCUCGCUACAACCCAGACGAGACGUCGAUGUUCCUUGUUGCCCUCGCGAUCUUGAGUCAGGCUUUCGGCAUCCGCUUAUACACCAACUCGACCUAAAUGAAAGUCCUGCUCACUGUGGUGAAUUAGUAGUGUCCAGUGUACUCUUGCAUGCAGCUUUCCGUCUCAUUGAAAUGAGAACCUCCAACUUUUUCAUCUGUAUUCUCUCCGACGUGAUGAACGCACUCGCUUCUUUAUAUCGGUAAUUUGAAGAGAGAUACAAGUAAUUUAACUGAAAAUUUUCUUUUCGUAGUGUUCUGUUUAUGCCGAUGUAAGCAAUGUAUGUUAAGCGAUACCAAGUCCCCCAUGAUGUUCUCAAUUGCAAACAACAAAUUUGGGCAAGGCAAACGAGAUGGUAACCGAACUACAGUUGAUGCAGCAGAAUGUGCAGAUUUUAGUCAGCAAGUGUUGCCGUAUGACUUUAGGAGACAGGAUUUGUCUAGCUUCCUAAACACAGAUUCUUGAAUAGGAGGAGCAGAUGGAGAUUCCAGUAUUCCUAAUUGCGAAGCCGAUGGCCGGUGUGAAACUGGACCGUUGAACGCGUCGUGCGGCAGCUCGGGGACUGAGUCCUCCAGCUGGAGGAACCUGAUCACUUGCCCCGCCUUUGGCCUUCUCGCGGGGUCGGGGUGCACGCACCACAGCCCCACCAUCAUCAGGCACUCCAUUUCAUCCCUCCGGAACCCUGAGCCCAAGGCCUCAUCAGCAGCGCCGAGGAUGUUGCUGGCGCGGUAGAGUUCCCAGACCCACUUGUGCAACGCGACCCAGACCCCUCCGUCCUCAUAGCUCCUCCGGCCGCACGCAAUCUCCAGGGCCACCACGCCGAAGCUGAACAUGUCGGACUCCUUCGUGGCCUUCCCACUAAUGAAGUACUCUGGCGCCAGGUACCCGCAAGUCCCAACCACGUCUGUUGUCUGAGACCUGAACCUGGGGUCAAUGAGCUUGGCCACUCCGAAGUCGCCGAGCUUGGUUGUGAAGUUGGUGUCGAGCAGCACGUUGGCUGCCUUUAUGUCCCGGUGGAGAACCCAUUGCUCGAGCUCCUCGUGGAGGUAGUUAAGGGCGGAUGCCAGGCCAAGCGCCACGCCGUAUCGCACAGCCCACGGCAGGCUUCUCCGGGGCCCAAAGAGGUGGUGGUCGAGGCUGCCAUUGGGCAUGUACUCGUAGACGAGCAAGAACUCACCUUCCUCUUGACACCACCCAACAAACGGCACCAGGUUUCUGUGUAUUGUUCGGCUUAUGAUCUUCACCUCGUUGACAAAGACCUUCUCGGAGUGUCGGGACUCCGCAAAGAUCCUUUUGACGGCGACCAGGCGGUUCGAAUGGCUCAAGAACCCUUUAUAGACUUGGGCAGACCCGCCUCGGCCCAGCCUUCUAUCGUCUGCGAAGCCAUUGGUCGCCGCGAGCAACUCCUGAUAAGUGAACUUCGUAGGCAAUGCGCCAAUCUCUUUAUCUAUGUCGGUAAGGGCGCUAUAACCAUGCUUUUCCCUCCUCUUGACGGCUAAAAAGCAAGAACUUGCGGAGAUCACCAGUAAAAAACAUGUCGUGGGAACAACGACCAGUAUCCAUAACCGGCGAGGUUCAUCUACGUCGUCCAAAUCCGAAGUGAACUCCCAUGAAUUGACGCUGUGUCUCUCUGGAUGUUCGCCGAUAGAAGCUGAGAACCCGAUCACUGCAGAUUCAGGAAGGACUCUUGCCAGAUCAACAAGGCAAGAAAGCGAGUGAUUGGCCUUAUAGUGGGAAGGCGGUUUGCCGUCGAACGACCAGAACACGCUGAGGUUCUUGCUCGCAGAAUUGUAGGUCACGUUAACAUUGACCGCUUUCCCGCUUUGCGAUACUGGAUCCCAGGGGGCAAGAACGACCGACGACAGCGAGUUCUGAUUGAUUCCUAUGUGAUACCAAUGGGGAUCAAACUCCCAGUUCAUAUAGGUGUCGAACUCGACCAUGACAAUCCGGUUCUGAGGCCCUUCAUUAAACGUGCUCGCGUUGAACAAUCCCAGGAAUCCGCCAGCCGAGUUGGGCGGGAUCGGGAUCCCCACGGGAGCGAGGAAGAAGGUGAUGCCAUCACUGUGCUGAGCAGAGCCGUCAGUCUCGAUGGUGAACGAGAAACGGGUUGAGAAGUUCGCUUGGCGCCCCGUGACACGAUCCCAUAUGCGGACAGGCUUGGCGUACUUAAUCCGCCCCACCUGGUAGCGAUGCGCAGGAUGGAGGCGGGUGAGAUCGACAUGUCCAUACGUGACCUCCGAAACUCCCUCGUGCAAUAUGUCCCUACUAUCCGUGUCGAAGCUGCUUAUGUUGAAGUAGAGAGGGGCAACACGGGAUCGAAGGACAGCAGACAAGGCAGAACAAGAACAAGCGAGCUUGCAAAGAAAGAGAACGGGGAGUCGCGCGCGGCAUACUUAAGACGGGCUUUGGUGGGAAUUGGAUCACCGACACUGCGAGAUCUAUAUGUUACAUUAGGGAGCUUUAAAAUGAACCCGAGCGUACCUAAUGGCUUACCGGACACGGCGAGCAAUCAUAGAUCAAGCAGCUUCUAUGAUAGUUCCUUGUUUUCUGCUACAGUCAGAUGGAAUAGGUUAUUAGACGUCUGGUGGGUACCAUUGCUAUCUUCCGAACACGAAAUGUCAACACGGUUUUCCCUAUCGCUCCAGCUAUUGCGCAAUUGGUGGAAAAAAUUGCGAGUGUUUGAAAGAGCCUUGGACAAAGACCGUGGAGAUGGAAACUGACCGAUCGAUAGUGACUGGCUGCCGGUGAUAUGAAGCUAGAGAACGAGCUAGCUGGCUGCAGAUCAAAGAUUUGAAUUUUCUGGGGGAGCUUGUGUGGUUCACCAUUUUUGCAGACAUUAUCCGACCACUCAAUGUCUCUGUCCACAAUUGUGGAGGAAAGGAGAGCAAGCUUUGGUUAAAUGAAGAGACUUAAAUGAGGGUUGAGAGUCCAUUUGAUGCAGCUCGCAUUGAGGACCAGCUCUCUCAACCAAGAAGAUCGGCCCAUAUUAAAGCUCAAUGAAACCGAGAAGCCGUAUCGACCAUCCUUGGAGAGUUGCAGUCAUCGAUCUAGAAAAAUCGGUGCCCCCUCAACUUCCUUGGAGGCCUAGGUGAGCAACUAACGGAGUUUCUAUCUUUUCCUUUUCUGUUCGUUAUUUCCAACCCAAUUUCGACCAUCCUACAGUGCUUAUUUCAGAAAACGCAAAACAUAUAAAGUGUAGAUCCAGAAGUCUUUGUUCAUUUGGCUUUGGAAUCAGGUUGAUCCGAUCUAUAUCAACAAAGAUACGACUGUUCUAUUGAGCCUGCUCAGUGUUGAAAUUUCUGUUCGCCCUGUUUUCCCGUGUGCAAGUCACUCUCCCGAUCCUAUUGUUUGAGAAAGCCUACCCUUGGCUUGCAUCAUUAUUGCUCAAAAGCCAUUGAUUAUGAUGAUGAAAAAACUUCGAACACUACCUAUCGAAUUAUCUUAUUCGUCAACCAUGUGUGCCAAAUCUUUCAUACAAGUUGUAUUUGAGAACUACUUUCAUGUUAUCGAAGCACAAGAGCCAUGGUCAAGUUCAAUCAAACUCUUGUAGACCCUCAUUUCACAGCUUGUCCAGCCCAUCGAGAACAUUACAGGCCUAUUUGGUUCUUGAGAUAGUUUCAUUCGAUGAAACUGUGUCGUAGGUAGUAUUUUGAAAGCUCACAUGGAUGCAGAAUCUUGUGUGAUACGGCAAGAUAAAAUCAUUUUGCCAAAUCUUGGUCUUAAGAAUCCAAGAUCAAAAAUGUUAUGCAAUUGACAUAGCAUGUCCUUAGUGACUAACACUAAACUCCUGAUGGCCCAAGUAUUGAUGGGGCAAUUGCUGCAUACCCAAAUGCAUUAGACCCCAUGCAUGCAAUAUGUCGGAUAAUUUGAGUCUCACUAGGAAUUCGUAAGAUCCAAGAAAUCUUGUUUACUGGAUCUAUAUUUUCUGGCUGCGGCCAAUAAUUUUCUGUACCAGUGGCCCCCGUAUGCCCUUUUGAGUUUGCUCCCGCACUAUCAUGGUUGAGAUUUCGUGGUUUAAGCUUCACAAUGAACCUCAAAAGUUACUGUCCUUCCUUGUUCAAAGGUGCGUGAUGAAUCGAAUUUAUCGCGCUUGUGAUGGGAAACGGUCAGACACUUGAAGAGUCCCAAACAAUCCAUUCCUCACGAAACAAAAUUGUAAUGAAAAAGAUCUUUGGGUGAAAACAAUUGAAAACGUCCCAUUUAUUAUUUUCACUCUUUCCACGAGGACCCGGCCGAAAUCAGAACAUGGUUUUGACAAAAAUGAAACUAUAGUUCUCGGUUAGAAAACAUGUUUUUUUUUUCUUUUCUAAUCAAACACAAUAAUUACGAAUAUACACAAGUAAAAACUAAAAUUAUUCUCAUUUUCAUAGGCAUAUUUUGAGAAAUCACGUGCGGUCUAUAUAGAAAAUUAAAGCAGUGACUGAGGUUGAAUCUGCCUUGAUCUUAGCUAUUAGGCCUUAAUGGAACUUAUUACAAAAAACCCAUUGUCCGCUUGAACCAAAGGUUAUAGAUGCUAUAACAAAACUUCGUAAGAAAAUAACUAGAGAAAUCUAUGAAGAUCGAAUUAGGUCUCAAGAUAAAAAUCGGUCUACCAACCACAAGAAAAGUGGAAAUGAAAGCAAUGUAGUUUCGAGUGAAUGGAUACUCCAAGAUAGAACAAGAAAAGUUGAAUCCGAUUAAUUCAACUUCUAUGACUUUGGAAUAAUUAGAAAAUUACAAAAAACGAAAUUAUUCAUUUUGAGCAACAAAGUUCGAUUUAAUCAAAUUUGACAACAGGUUUUCUAACAAGUCUUGCAAGGAGCUUUUGGAACUCUUAAUAGUUGGUUGAAUAACGAGUUACAUUACUUGCCCUGCCCUCGACUGUCUGGCGGGAUCUGGGUGCACGCACCAUAGCCCCACCAUCAUCAGGCACUUCAUCUCCUCCUAUGGGAACUCCGAGUGCAACACCUCGUCAACCGCGCGCCGAGGACGUUGCUAGCAAGGUAGAGUUGCUAGACCCACUCGUGUAGUGAGACCUGGAUCUCUGUUCUCAUAGCUCCUCCGGCCAUGACACCAAAGCUAAACAUGUCGGACUCCGGGGUGGCCUUCCCUCCAAUAAAGUAUUUUGGCGCUAGAUACCCGCAAGUCCCAACCACGUCUGCUGUCUGAGUCCUGAAUCGGGGGUCGACAAGCUUGGCCACUCCAAAGUCGGCAAGCUUGGUGCUGAAGUUGGAGUCGAGUAGUACAUGGGCUGCCUUUAUGUCCUGGUGGAGCACAUAUUGCUCGAGAUCAUCCUCAUAGCUCCUCUGGCCAUCAUGCCGAAGCUGAACAUGUUGGACUCCGUGGUGGCCUUUGUGGGAUGCAAAACGUGCAAUCCCAAGAUCUUCAUAACCAAAACAAGAGCACAAAUGAUUGAGUAAAAAGAUUAACGCACCUAUUUUGAAAUCUAUCGUUCUUGAUGAGGAAGUAGAAAAAUGAUGAUCCACUCGCUAGUCAUUCUCCUCUAUUGUCCUUUGUAUUACUGACUUAAUGAGCUGGUCCCCUCACCCUUUAGCGCUAGGUAAACGCUCCUUAUGUGAGGAUCUUUGUAAGAAUUAGGGUUAGAUGAGAGAUUUGAGCACUAUUUAUAGAAUUUUCAACUAGGUCCUCUCAUUAUAAGCUAGGCUCAACUCGGCCCACAUUAGCCAGUCCCAUAUUAGACUAAUAAAGAAACAUUUUAUUUCACUUUAGACCAACCAACCCCGUAAAAUGGUAAAUUACAAUAUCAAUUUAUGUAGCCUACAUCUUGAAAACUCUUACAUUCUCUCACUUGGGCUAUAUUAAUUGAAAUUGUACUGUAUGUGCGCAUAUUAGUUUAGAAAUAAUUAUUAAUAAUCAAUUCCAUCCCAUAAAGUUUUUUUUUUUUUUUUGGUGACCCAGGGAACCCCUGCACAGCCGACAGCUGUGAAGUAAACAUUGGGAAGGCACGUAGGAAACCACCACCAACGCACCCCGGGUAAGUCGCCAAAUGAUCCGUCAGCCUCCUUGCAACUUGCGUUGCAGGGGCUUUGAACUCUAGACCUCCUACGUGGAAGUCUAGAGCCUACCCAACGGAGCCACCGCGACGGGUGGUUCCAUCCCAUAAAGUUUCAAACACCAAAUCAUGACAGUAAUUGCAUGUAUACACAUAGAGCCUUCCAUGAUCAUGAGUGCUUUUAACUUUAUUGAUAUGGAUUCAAUAUGGUAGUAUAGCAAAUGGAUAAUACCUCUCACAGAGAAAUCCCAUUUGUCAAUCAAUGUUCUCUUACAUUAAGUGUCACAAAAAACUUGUGCCACUAGAUAAUGUCUUUAUGGUUCCAAUGAACUCACACAUGCCUUAUUUUUAUGGUUAACAUUUCUUUAUAUAUAACAAGACAUAUGCAUAAGGCUAAUAACCGGAUGCCCCUAGCUUUCACUCAAGGUUUAUACAAUACAUUGAGACUUUUAUUAAUAUGUAUUUAACAUAAUAACAACACAUUAAAAAAUAUUACUAAAUGUAACAAACACAAAUGUAAACUUUAUUGCAGUAAAACCGAAAGAGCUCCCACUAAACAACAAUAUCUCAUGAUGCUUUUAAGCUCAUGUUAAUGACAUGUUGCUCAAACACACAAUGGCAUAGGCAUUUAGUUAGUGGAUCUGCAACCAUAUUAUCCGUGGAAAUAAGUUAUAUUAUAACGUCACAUUUUUUUACGUUUCUUUAUAGUAAAAAAUUUGACUACCAUAUAUUUAGACUCUUUGAGAUGUCUAUCGUUAAUAAAAAUACUAUAAAUUUAUUGUCUCAAUACAACUGUAUGAGUGAAUCCAUAAAAUUAAAAAUGAUCAACUCCUUAAUGAGGUUUUGGAGCUUAAUAGCCUAAGUAGCAGCCUAAAAGAAUAUUACAAACUCUGCUUAUAUAGUAGGAGAUGACAUAGUGUUUUAUUUACUGCAUUUCCCGCUAACAUAAAUAUGUAUUAUGUUAUUGGUCUUGUAUCAUCCUAAUAGCUAGCAAAGUUUUUUACAUCUAAAUAUCCUGCUAGCUACAAGACUUGAACAUCUAUGUAAAUCAUCAUACAUUAUACUUUUAAGUACACUGACACAUGGUAUACCCUUUAACUAGAUUUUCUCAAUAUCUUAAUAAAGACAAUGUAAUAGAUUCAGUUCAUUGCCCUUAAUGAUAAGAGCAAUUUCUAGCUUACAAUGAUGUAUAUUGAAUAUUUCCAAAAUACGAUCAACAAAUGUCAUCUAAGAUAAAUCCAAUAUAUAUGGCGAGGACAAUCUUUACGGACCUUAGUGCAAAGGACAAAAGAUGUAUCGAGAUCACUACUUGUAAGCAAAAUAUCAUGUAUAUAAAAUAUGAGAAAAAUAAAUUUUCUCCCAUUGAUCUUGCAGUAUAUAUAUUAAAUUACUUUGUUCCAAAUUAAACGAAAUAACAUCACUGAAACUUUAAUAAUAUUGUCUGAAAACUUAAAAUUAUGAAUAAUAAUUUUCAGUUUACACACAAGUUUACUUGAAUCAUUUGCUACAAAAUCCUCCGGUUACACUAUAUAGAUUUUGUUAUCGUGUCUAUUUAAAAAGAUAGUAUCUAUUUGGCGUAACUCCAUAUAAAAAAAGAGCUAUUAAUGUCAUGUUCACUUUAAAAGAAUUUUUAAAAAUACUAGAAAAAAAUAACUGUUAAUGUCAUGUUUAUUCUGAAAGAAAGGUUCUUGCUCACAGAAUUGUAGGUCACUACAAUAUCGAUCGCUUUCCCGCCGUGCAAUCGGGGAUCCUAGUGGUCAUAACAAGCGAAGAGAGCUGGUUCUUAUUGAUUCCUAUGUGAUUCAAUGGGGGAUCGAACUCUGGGUUCAUGUAAGCGUCAAACUCGACCAUGACGAUCUGGUUUCGAGGCCCGUCAUUAGCUGUGCUACCAUUGAACAAUCCGAGGAAUUGUCUGGCCAAGUUGGGCGGGAUUGAGAUCCCAACAAGAGCGAGGAAGAAGGCCAUGCCAUCGCUGUACUGAUUAGAGCCAUCAAUCUCGAUGGUGAACAAGAAGCGGGUCGAGAAGUUUGCUUGGAGCCCCGUGACAGGGUCCCAUAUGCGGACAGGCUUGGCGUACUGAAUCCACCCAACCUGGAAGGGCUGCGAAGGAUGGAGGGGGGGUGAUAUUGACAUAUCCAUACGUGGCCUUCACAACUCCCUCGUACAAUAUGUCCCUCCUAUCCGUGUCGAAGCUGCUUAUGUUAAAGUAGAGAGGAGCGACAGAGGGGAACAAAGGACAACAUACAAGGCAGGACUGUUGGAGAUACAAUUGAAGAUUGUGAUCGUGGAUCGAUCCUAAUUGUGGACUGAUUGAUUUAGUGAAUAUGUGAUAGUUUUAGUAAAUAGGAAAUUUAAAAUUCUUUGUCUAUUAUUUCCUUUUCUUCUCUUUCAUUCUUGCACUAUAAAUAUAUUAAUAUACUUGUAUACAAAUCAAUGAAUAUACAGAGAAUUUCCUCCCUUUUUCUUGCAUUUCCUGUCAAGGACAAGAACAAUUGAGCGCGAAUGCAGGCGCGCAACGACAGAGAAUGGGGAGUCAUGGGCGGCAUUCUUAACCCCGGCUUUGGUCAGAAUCGGAUCUGUUACAUUAGGGUGGUCGGAAUCGGAUCUGUUACAUUAGGGUGCUUUAUAACGAACCCAAGGGUACCCAAUGGCAGACCAAACAGAGCAAGCAAUCGUUGAUCAAGCAGCUUCUUCGAAGGUUCCUUGUUUUCUGCUAAAGUCGCUGGAAUGCAUUAGUCCCAAGGAGGGACGGUCUUGUAUAGUGGGUACAACUGCUAUCUUCCAAACAAGAAAUGCCAACAUGGUGUGGCUAUAAUAGAUUGUUCCUGUCAUUUCCCAACCGGGGGAAAAGCUGCGGGUUUUCUAGAUUGACUUGCUUUCGAGGAUAUGAAGAGAGCCGAGAGAGCUGACUAGCGAUGAAACUUUUGCAUUCACCGUGAGGAAGCUUGUAUGGUUCACCUCUUUUACAGACAUCGUCAGACCACUCGAUGUCUCUUGUCCAAAUUUGUACAGGAAAGGAGUCCGAGCUUUGGUUAGAUGAAUAGCAAUUUGCAGAGACUUGAAAUCUGGAAGGAGGACGCACCAUAUAAAGUUGGGUCUGUCAAAAAGCUUGUCGAGCAAUGUCGUCCUCUUGAGCAUUUUGGUUUUAAAUUUCGACAAAGCUCAUCUUGCAACAUGCCAAUUCGCUUUAGGAAUAAUCCACUCUAAUCAUCAGUUUUUUUUCUCUAUUGGCAUCCAAUCUAAUUACCUUAUUCUUCAAAUAUGUGCAUGAAAUCUUUCCUCCAAUGCUGUAGUUUGAGAAUGCCUUUAAUUCAAUGGGAGCACACUAGACAUGAUCAAGUUCGAUCAACUUACUCUUUUUGAUCAUCAUUUCCCAGCUUGCCCAGCCCAUCAUCGAGAACAUUACAGGCCUUUUUGGAUCUUGAGAUUUUUAAGUUUCGUUCAAUGGAAAUGUGUGGUUGGUAUUACUUUGAAAAUUAACAUUGAUGCGGAAUUUUUGUGAUAGGGCAAGAUGAAGUGCACUUCGCAAAAUUUUUAUUUGAAGAAUGCAAUAUUGAUGGGACAAUUGUUGCUUAUAGGACAGAUUAGACUUAGUGCAUGUGAUCGUUGGAUUACGUGGGUCUCACUUGGAGUUUGUAUGAUCAAAUGAAUCUCAUUGUGCUGACGUAUAAGCUGCAGCCGAUAAUUUUCUAUACUGAUGGCCCUGGAAGCCCUUUUAAGUUCGGUCCUUCACUAAUUAUGUUGCGACUUUCAUUGUUGACCUCAAAAGCUAUUGAAGUGAUAUAUAUCUUUUUUCUUGUCCAAAGGUUCCAGAUGAAAAGAAUCUGUCACAUGUCACGGUUGUUAUUGUUGGAGAAAUCUUUCCAGAAUGGUUGUUAUUGUUGGAGAAAUCUUUCCAGAAUAUUUUGAAGCUGACAAAACGUUUCUAUCAGUCUAGUCUGAAUAAGUAUAGACCUUCUGUUUAAAGUCUGAAGACUUUCAGAUCACCAGACUCAAGACUCAAGACUAUUUUCAUUGACAGUUUUUCUAAUCCAGUGACGAAGUGCCGAAGUAUUUGGCUGAGGAUUUAGUCCUAUCCUCUGGAGAAGAUCUCUUGGCUGGAUAAAUAUAACGGAUUCUUUUAUUCGUAAUCAAGAUUGUUUGAAGAUCCGAUGGUCGACGAAAUAUUCUUGGAAGGUUCUAUUCUUGGAAACCAAGAUCUUGAUUGUAUGGGCGAACAGGAUUGAUGGGCUAUCGUCAGGUUCCUUUAAUAGCUCGAAUGAUCUUCUUAAUUGAUUCCGUCCAACGGGUAGAUUGGAGGAAUUCUUUUGGUAAGUGCCAACGGGUAUGAUGGCAUAAAGGAGUAUAAAAGGAAGACAUUCUAGUUGCUUUAGUGCAUGAUAGAGAAAUUCCAGAGUCUAAGCACCUUGAUUAUUAGUCGAUACAUUUUGAGCGAAAUUGUAUACACAAAGAGUGUCUAUACUUAGAGAUACCUUGAGCGAGUGUGGUAGAUCAUCUACACCGAGAAAUCAAGAGAGAACAACGCUGUAACAUCUCUUUGUUCAUAGUGGAAUCCAGCCAAUAGGCUGUCAGUGCAGAAGAGUGGACGUAGGCUUGAAAUAAGCCGAACCACUAUAAACCGCGUGUUCAAUUUUCUCUUCUCUCAAUCUUACUUUGAUUAUUGUUUGUCUCAAAUUUAUCAACUGUCUAGUAUUGUGCAAUAAUUGAGAAAAAUCCUUUAUAUACCUAUUCACCCCUCUAGGUACUUAUACUAGCUAUAUCAGUUAUGAAUAUAAUUUAGGGUUGAUGAGUCUUCAACAUUCUAUUUCUGACCAAAAUAAUACUCAAAAGUUUUUAGAGUGAAAACAACUUAAAACAUUGCUUUUAUGAUUUUCGCUCUUUUUUAUGUGGACCCCACCGAAAUCAAAACAUGGUUUUGACAAGAAUGAAACUGCGUUUCUCAGUAAGAAAACGUGAUUUUUUUCUCUCCAACCUAAUAAUUUAAGAAUAUACAAAAGUAAAAGCAAAAAGUUAUACCCAUUUUCAUGGACAUAUUUUGAGAAAUCACAUGCGGUCUAUAUAAAAAAUUAAAACGGUAUCAAAUGUCGCAUUUGCCUUGACCUUAGCUAUCAUCAUGAAGUUACUACGAAAAACCCAUCUUAAAUAAAUCUCGUAGUCAACAAAGGCCUGAACUAAUCUCAUGAAUCAAAUAAGACAAAAAUCAAGACCCAGGCAGAUGGCCUGAAAAAACAAAUCGUUUGUAACUUGGUCAACUGGAGAAUCGAACCUACCACAGCAUAUUCCAAUUCCUUGACCUCUUUCUAAGUCAUCCCCACGGGUUUUACCUUUAAAAGAGUAAAUUUCGUGGAUGAAAACUAGUGUAAUUCAUGUAGCACUGCUCAAAAUAACAAAGUAGUAAAACAACCGGCCUUGGCGAAAUGUCCUUUCCCUACGCGCCCAGAAUAUUUAAUUAGCAAGAAAGCUCUCCCAUAAUUUCUCAUCUUCUCUAUAUUGUAAACUCUGUUGACAUUCUACCGAUUGCGAAUCAAUACAUUACAAUGCAAUUGUUUCCCGUGAAAGAACCGAGCAACAUUGAAGCAAACGUUAUAAAACUGCAAAAUGAUGUUGUGAUGCUCCCAAUACGUCACAGUUAAUGCAUUUGCUAAAGUCUUUUCACUUUUUUAAGCAUGUAGAUUCAAAGGAUGUGACGCCCUUAGCAUGUCACGGCUAAAGCAGUUACUAAAGUUUUUUCACUUUUUAAGCAUGUAGAAGUCUGUACGAUUAAAGAACACCUAUCACAUAUAAAAUUACAAUGUCCUUUCCCUACACAUUGGGAAUAUUUAAUUAGCAAGGAAGCUCUCCCAUAAUUUCUCAUCUUCUUUAUACAUUGUAAACUCCGUUGACAUUCCACCGAUUGUGAAUCAAUACACUACAAUGCAAUUGUUCCCAAGCAACAUCGAAGCAAACAUUAUAAAACUACAAGACAAUGUUGUGAUGCCCCUAGUACGUCACGGCUAACGCAUUUACUAAAGUCUUUUCACCUUUUUAAGCAAGCAGAAGCCUAUACAGUCAAACAACACCCAUGACAUAUAAAAAUUCAAAGGAUGUGAUGCCUCGGCACGUCACAGCUAAUGCAUUUACUAAAGUCUUUUCACUUUUUAAGCAUAUAGAAGUGUGUACAAUUAAAGAACAUCCAGGACAUAUAAAAUUACAGUUUCCUUUCCCUACACGCCCAAAAUAUUUAAUUAGCAAGGAAGCUCUCCCACAAUUUCUCAUCUUCUCUCUAUCUUGUAAACACCAUUGACAUCCCACUGAUUGUGAAUCAAUACAUUACAAUGCAAUUGUUCCCAAGCAACAUCGAAGCAGACAUUAUAAAACUGCAAGACGAUGUUGUGACUCCCCUAGUAUGUCGCGGCCGACGCAUUUACUGAAGUAUUUUCACUUUUUUAAGCAUGCAAAAAAGUAUAUGGUUAAACAAUAUCCGAGACAUAUAAAAAUUCAAAGGAUGUGAUGCUCCCAGCACGUCACGGCUAACUUACUUACUAAAUUUUUUUCACUUUUUAAGCAGGCAGAAACGUGUAUGGUUAAAGAAUACCCAAGACAUAUAAAAUUACAAUGUCCUUUUCCUACAUGCCAGAAUAUUUACUUAGAAAGGAAACUCUCCCACAAUUUCUCCUCUUCUCUCUAUAUUGUAAACUCCGUUGACAUUCUACCGAUUGUGAAUCAAUACAUUACAAAGGCGUCACUUGGGCGUGUCCCAUUACUGGACCGUCCAUUACCCUGAGGCUUGACUCUUGAGCUAAUUUCUUGUACCAUCACUUGCGCGCGUCAUAUUGCUGUACCAUCCAAUCCAAGACGGUAUGACUAGAAUCUAUUGCUGCUGUUAUUUGUCAAAUGGGGGAAAAUUUGCAGGUGUUCUAGAGAGCCGCGUAUGAAGACCGUGGAGAUGGAAACUGACCAAUCGAUCUCCCGAGUUGACUGGCUUUCGAUAACAUAACGGGAGCGAGCGGGCGACCCCGGAUCGGUGUUUUUGCAUUCGCCAGGAGAGCUUCUGCGGUUCACCUCUUUAACAGAAAUGAUCAGACCCGGUCAACGUGUCUGUCUACAAGUGUGUAGGAAAGGAGCGCAUGCUAUUGUUAGAUGAGCUGCGAUUUGCAGGGACGUGAAGAGCGGUUGAGAGUAUAUUGCUUCGAAGCCACUGAUUAUGACGAACACUACGAACCCAAAAAACAAAAUAAGAGCCACAGAUAGUUUUUUAGCUGCAUCAUCAUCAUACCAUGUCACCGUGCCUGUCGUCAAUGCCAUGUCAUCAUGUGUGCCACGCCAUCACCAUGUCAUCGAAAUAUGCCAUGUCAUUGCUUGCAUGUCAUUGAGUGAUUGUAUGUUAGGUUCAUAAAAUUGUACGUCAUGCUGGAAUAGUUCCAUAACAAUUUUACCACUCAUUGGAAUUAAUUACCGCAAGCCAAGUUGGAAUAGACAUACUUAGUGCGUCGUCGUGUUUAGAGUACUUGGAUUACAUACAUUACAUACAUUACAUUUUAGCGUUAGCUUUCACUAGAUAAGAGAAAACCUUAAAAAGGAUUUGAGUGGAAUUGUCUGUCAAUUAGAAAUCAUAUUUAUGUUAAGAAUGUGAUUUUCUAAUAAAUGUUACAGUUGCUUAUGUUACUUCAAGGUAAGUAAAUCUAUUCCUUACCCUUGCAAUCUGUUCAUCACUUUGAGUAUAGGGUGUUUUAUUAACGGUUGUGCACACGCAUGAUUACCUCACAUCUUAGUGAAAAUGUUUAAAUUUAAUCCAAUGCCCUUGCCAAAUAUUUUUUGAACAAAAGAGGAAGGUACCAAAAGGGUAUUGGAGUAAUCAAGCAUAAUCAAUUCCUUGUUGCCCUCGCGAUCUUGAGUCAGGCUUUCGGCAUCCGCUUAUACUCCAAAUCGACCUAAAUGAAAGUCCUGCUCACUGUGGUGAAUUCGUAGUGUCCAGUGUACUCUUGCAUGCAGCUUUCCGUCUCAUUGAAGUGAGAACCUCCAACUUUUUCAUCUGUAUUCUCUCCGACGUGAUGAACGCGCUUGCUUCUUUAUAUCAGAAAUUUGAAGAGAGAUAAAGGUAAUUUAACGGAAAAUUUUAUUUUCAUAGUGUUCUGUUUAUGCCGAUGUAAGCAAUGUAUGUUAAGCGAUACCAAGUCCCCCGUGAUGCUCUCAAUUCCAAACAACAAAUUUGGGCAAGGCAAACGAGAUGGUAACCGAACUACAGUUGAUGCAGCAGAAUGUGCAGAUUUUAGUCAGCAUGUGUUGCCGUAUGACUUUAGGAGACAGGAUUUGUCUAGCUUCCUAAACACAGAUUCUUGAAUAGGAGGAGCAGAUGGAGAUUCCAGUAUUCCUAAUUGCGAAGCCGAUGGCCGGUGUGAAACUGGACUGUUGAACGCGUCGUGCGGCAGCUCGGGGACUGAGUCCUCCAGCUGGAGGAACCUGAUCACUUGCCCCGCCUUUGGCCUUCUCACGGGGUCGGGGUGCACGCACCACAACCCCACCCUCAUCAGGCACUCCAUUUCCUCCCUCCGGAACCCUGAGCCCAAGGCCUCAUCGGCCGCGCCGAGGAUGUUGCUGGCGAGGUAGAGUUCCCAGACCCACUUGUGCAACGCGACCCAGACCUCUCCGUCCUCAUAGCUCCUCCGGCCGCACGCAAUCUCCAGGGCCACCACGCCGAAGCUGAACAUGUCGGACUCCUUCGUGGCCUUCCCACUAAUGAAGUACUCUGGCGCCAGGUACCCGCAAGUCCCAACCACGUCUGUUGUCUGAGACCUGAACCUGGGGUCAAUGAGCUUGGCCACUCCGAAGUCGCCGAGCCUGGUUGUGAAGCUGGUGUCGAGCAGCACGUUGGCUGCCUUUAUGUCCCGGUGGAGAACCCAUUUCU